UAGCUCUUGGAAACGGGUGGUAAUGCUGGAUGCUCCAACUUGACGCAUGUCUUGUUGGGAAAGUGUUUAGUGGCAUGGGAUGGGGUCGCGUCCUAUCAGCUUGUAGGCGGGGUAAUGGCCCACCUAGGCUUCGACGGGUAGCCGGCCUGAGAGGGCGGACGGCCACAUUGGGACUGAGAUACGGCCCAGACUCCUACGGGAGGCAGCAGCU
rnacentral:rRNA from 1 species